GUGGGCCAGGUGGACCGAGCAAGAAGAGGUCCAGAGCUCAGCUGCUAUGGACAUCCUCACGGUUGCACCCAGGGCCACCCCAGCCCCUGGCAUAUGGGGCUGACAAAGGUGAAAGCUCAAGGCUCACGGUGCCUGCCCCUAUGUGUACAAAUACCCAAGUGGUCUUACAUCACUAAGUCUGGAUUCUGAGAAAUGUUGUGUUAUAAAAGUUGCUGAGAUGGAAAGAAAAACAGAAACUACCAGAAAGAAG
rnacentral:lncRNA from 1 species